CCCCUUCUAAAAGCACUCGAUGGCCUUUUUCUAAUGACCCUCUGAGCUGUCCAGAAAGGACACAGGAAAAACACCACUUUUGGGUGAAGUGACAGCAUGUUGUGUUGUUUUGCUUCAAUUGGUGGUGUGACAGAU